rnacentral:rRNA from 1 species
UACGAAGGGGGCAAGUGUUAUUCAAUCAAACUGGGCGUAAAGCGUCUUUAAAUGGGAUUUUACAGGUUCUUCACAGAAAUGCAAAGAGUAAUCUUGUAUUGUUGACGAAAACUAAAAUUCUUGAGUUUUGGAGGGAUAAGUAGUAUUUCUUCGGUAAAGUUAAAAUUUUUAGAUUGAAGAGAGAGCGCCAAGGGUGAAGACAACUUAUAAGCCAAAACUGACAUUAAAGGACUAAAGCAUAGGGAGCGAGCGGG